rnacentral:rRNA from 1 species
GUGUCAGCCGCCGCGGUAAUACGAAGGGGGCUAGCGUUGCUCGGAAUUACUGGGCGUAAAGCGCACGUAGGCGGAUAGUUAAGUUGGGGGUGAAAUCCUGGAGCUCAACUCCAGAACUGCCUCCAAAACUGACGAUCUUGAGUUCGGGAGAGGUGAGUGGAACUGCGAGUGUAGAGGUGAAAUUCGUAGAUAUUCGCAAGAACACCAGUGGCGAAGGCGGCUCACUGGCCCGAUACUGACGCUGAGGUGCGAAAGCGUGGGGAGCAAACAGGAUUAGAAACCCGUGUAGUCC